rnacentral:rRNA from 1 species
CUACGGGUCGCUCCAGUGGGGAAUAUUGCACAAUGGGCGCAAGCCUGAUGCAGCCAUGCCGCGUGUAUGAAGAAGGCCUUCGGGUUGUAAAGUACUUUCAGCGGGGAGGAAGGGAGUAAAGUUAAUACCUUUGCUCAUUGACGUUACCCGCAGAAGAAGCACCGGCUAACUCCGUGCCAGCAGCCGCGGUAAUACGGAGGGUGCAAGCGGUAAUCGGAAUUACUGGUCGUAAAGCGCACGCAGGCGGUUUGUUAAGUCAGAUGUGAAAUCCCCGGGCUCAACCUGGGAACUGCAUCUGAUACUGGCAAGCUUGAGUCUCGUAGAGGGGGGUAGAAUUCCAGGUGUAGCGGUGAAAUGCGUAGAGAUCUGGAGGAAUACCGGUGGCGAAGGCGGCCCCCUGGACGAAGACUGACGCUCAGGUGCGAAAGCGUGGGGAGCAAACAGGAUUAGAUACCCGCGUAGUC